UACGGGGGGAGCAAGCGUUGUUCGGAUUUACUGGGCGUAAAGGGCGCGUAGGCGGUCAGCACAAGUCAGUUGUGAAAUCUCCGGGCUUAACUCGGAAAGGUCAACUGAUACUGUGCGACUAGAGUGCGGAAGGGGCAACUGGAAUUCUCGGUGUAGCGGUGAAAUGCGUAGAUAUCGGGAGGAACACCUAUGGCGAAGGCAGCUCGCUGGGACGUUACUGACGCUGAGACGCGAAAGCGUGGGGAGCAAACAGG
rnacentral:rRNA from 1 species